UUAUAGCAAGAGGCAGAGAAAUACCACAUACAAAAACCAUUUAGCAGAUCUUAUUGAGGGUGGAGCUUGUGUUCCUAGCUCCAACAGUGGAGCAAUAUCUAACAAUACACAACCUAAAGUAAAGGAAUGGAGUUAAGAAUAUAUAAAUAUUUGGAUGAGCAAUGUCAGAGCGACAUAGACUAAGAUAAAGUAGAAUAGAAUACAGUAUAUACAUAUGAGAUGAGUAAUGCAGGAUAUGUGAACAUGAUUAAAGUGACCAGUGUUCCAUUAUUAAAGUGACCCGUGUUCCAUUAUUAAAGGGACCCGUGUUCCAUUAUUAAAGUGACCAGUGUUCCAUUAUUAAAGUGACCAGUGUUCCAUUAUUAAAGUGACCAGUGUUCCAUUAUUAAAGGGACCAGUGUUCCAUUACUAAAGUGACCAGUGUUCCAUUAUUAAAAGUGACCAGUGUUCCAUUAUUAAAGGGACCAGUGUUCCAUUAUUAAAGGGACCAGUGUUCCAUUAUUAAAGGGACCAGUGUUCCAUUACUAAAGUGACCAGUGUUCCAUUAUUAAAAGUGACCAGUGUUCCAUUAUUAAAAGUGACCAGUGUUCCAUUAUUAAAAGUGACCAGUGUUCCAUUAUUAAAGAGACCAGUGUUCCAUUAUUAAAGGGACCCGUGUUCCAUUAUUAAAGUGACCAGUGUUCCAUUAUUAAAGGGACCAGUGUUCCAUUAUUAAAGGGACCAGUGUUCCAUUAUUAAAGGGACCAGUGUUCCAUUACUAAAGUGACCAGUGUUCCAUUAUUAAAAGUGACCAGUGUUCCAUUAUUAAAAGUGACCAGUGUUCCAUUAUUAAAAGUGACCAGUGUUCCAUUAUUAAAGAGACCAGUGUUCCAUUAUUAAAGGGACCCGUGUUCCAUUAUUAAAAGUGACCAGUGUUCCAUUAUUAAAGGGACCAGUGUUCCAUUAUUAAAGUGACCAGUGUUCCAUUACUAAAGUGACCAGUGUUCCAUUAUUAAAAGUGACCAGUGUUCCAUUAUUAAAAGUGACCAGUGUUCCAUUAUUAAAAGUGACCAGUGUUCCAUUAUUAAAGAGACCAGUGUUCCAUUAUUAAAGGGACCCGUGUUCCAUUAUUAAAGGGACCAGUGUUCCAUUAUUAAAGGGACCAGUGUUCCAUUAUUAAAGGGACCAGUGUUCCAUUAUUAAAGGGACCAGUGUUCCAUUAUUAAAAGUGACCAGUGUUCCAUUAUUAAAAGUGACCAGUGUUCCAUUAUUAAAGAGACCAGUGUUCCAUUAUUAAAGUGACCAGUGUUCCAUUAUUAAAGUGACCAGUGUUCCAUUAUUAAAGUGACCAGUGUUCCAUUAUUAAAAGUGACCAGUGUUCCAUUAUUAAAGUGACCAGUGUUCCAUUAUUAAAGUGACCAGUGUUCCAUUAUUAAAGUGACCAGUGUUCCAUUACUAAAGGGACCAGUGUUCCAUUACUAAAGGGACCAGUGUUCCAUUAUUAAACUGACCAGUGUUCCAAAGGAAAGACCAGCCAACAUCACUAAACACAGAUCCAUUUGUUCUGGAUCAACUCCCAUCCUUAAAGAAAGGGGAGACCAGCCAACAUCACUAAACACAGAUCCAUUUGUUCUGGAUCAACUCCCAUCCUUAAAGAAAGGAAAGACCAGCCAACAUCACUAAACACAGAUCCAUUUGUUCUGGAUCAACUCCCAUCUGUGUUUUGGGUUUUAGGUUGUUGUUUACAGGAACCAGGUGGAUGUGGGCCAGAGGAGCGUCAAGCUGAUGCCUGGUGCCCGAGAAACAAAGACUGAUAGAACAGAUGAGAGUGGAGGUACUGGUGUCCUCAGUGGUGUGAAUAUUAGCAGUGUGAUGGAACCCCCCCUGCUGGCCUUCAGACCCACACACUGGAGAGACCAGUGGUCAAACCACUGUUUCACUAAGGUGCUUUUCCACAGACAACAUCAUGACUUUCGUUGACUCACAUAUCUGCAACAACAUGCAGUCUUUGGACUGUAGCAGUGUGGGAACCACAGUCAAUGUACGAUGGACACAGUGAGGUAUAGUGGUGUGUGGUACUGGUACUGGGCCAGACAGUGGGGGCUAGUGGUGUGGUACUGGUACUGGGCCAGACAGUGGGGGCUAGUGGUGUGUGUGGUACUGGUACUGGGGCUGGUACUGGUACUGGGCCAGACAGUGAGGUAUAGUGGUGUGUGGUACUGGGCCAGAAAGUUACUGGGCCAGACAGUGAGGUAUAGUGGCGUGUGGUACUGGUACUGGGCCAGACAGUAAGGUAUAGUGGUGUGUGGUACUGGGCCAGACAGUAAGGUAUAGUGGGGUUGGUACUGGGCCAGACAGUGAGGUAUAGUGGCGUGUGGUACUGGUACUGGGGCUGACAGUGAAGUAUAGUGGUGUGUGGUACUGGUACAGGGCCAGACAGUGAGGGCUAGUGGCGUGUGGUACUGGUACUGGGCCAGACAGUGAGGGCUAGUGGCGUGUGGUACUGGGCCAGACAGUGAGGUAUAGUGGUGUGGUACUGGUACUGGGUCAGACAGUGAGGUAUAGUGGCGUGUGGUACUGGGCCAGACAGUGAGAUAUAGUGGCGUGUGGUACUGGUACUGGGGCUGACAGUAAGGUAUAGUGGCGUGUGGUACUGGUACUGGGCCAGACAGUGAGGGCUAGUGGCGUGUGGUACUGGUACUGGGCCAGACAGUGAGGGCUAGUGGCGUGUGGUACUGGUACUGGGGUCAGACAGUGAGGUAAAGUAGUGUGUGGUACUGGUACUGGGCCAGACAGUGAGGGCUAGUGGUGUGUGGUACUGGGCCAGACAGUGAGAUAUAGUGGCGUGUGGUACUGGUACUGGGUCAGACAGUGAGGUAUAGUGCUGUGUGGUACUGGGCCAGACAGUGAGGUAUAGUGGCGUGUGGUACUGGGCCAGACAGUGAGGUAUAGUGGCGUGUGGUACUGGUACUGGGCCAGACAGUGAGAUAUAGUGGUGUGUGGUACUGGUACUGGGCCAGACAGUGAGGUAUAGUGGUGUGUGGUACUGGGCCAGACAGUGAGGUAUAGUGGUACUGGUACUGGGCCAGACAGUGAGGUAUAGUGGUGUGUGCUACUGGGCCAGACAGUGAGGGCUUGUGGUGUGUGGUACUGGGGUUGGUACUGGGCCAGACAGUGAGGUAUAGUGGCGUGUGGUACUGGUACUGGGGCUGACAGUGAGGUAUAGUGGUGUGUGGUACUGGUACUGGGCCAGACAGUGAGGGCUAGUGGCGUGUGGUACUGGGCCAGACAGUGAGGUAUAGUGGUGUGGUACUGAUACUGGGUGAGACAGUGAUGUAUAGUGGCGUGUGGUACUGGGCCAGACAGUGAGGUAUAGUGGCGUGUGGUACUGGUACUGGGCCAGACAGUGAGGUAUAGUGGCGUGUGGUACUGGUACUGGGCCAGACAGUGAGGUAUAGUGGCGUGUGGUACUGGGCCAGCCAGUGAGGUAUAGUGGUGUGUGGUACUGGGCCAGACAGUGAGAUAUAGUGGUACUGGUACUGGGCCAGACAGUGAAGUAUAGUGGUGUUUGGUACUGGUACUGGGCCAGACAGUGAGGUAUAGUAGCGUGUGGUACUGGUACUGGGCCAGACAGUGAGGUAUAGUGGCGUGUGGUACUGGUACUGGGCCAGACAGUGAAGUAUAGUGGUGUGUGGUACUGGUACUGGGCCAGACAGUGAGAUACUGUAGCUACAGACAGAUAACGACAGACACAGACUGUG